CCUACGGGAGGCAGCAGUGGGGAAUAUUGGGCAAUGGGCGCAAGCCUGACCCAGCAACGCCGCGUGAAGGAAGAAGGCUUUCGGGUCGUAAACCGCUUUCAGCAGGGACGAGGCCCUCACGGUGACGGUACCUGCAGAAGAAGCCCCGGCUAACUACGUGCCAGCAGCCGCGGUAAUACGUGGGGGGCGAGCGUUAUCCGGAUUCAUUGGGCGUAAAGCGCGCGUAGGCGGCCUGUUAGGUCGGGGGUCAAAUACCGGGGCUCAACCCCGGUCCGCCCCCGAUACCGGCAGGCUUGAGUCUGGGAGGGGAAGGCGGAAUGCCCGGUGUAGCGGUGGAAUGCGCAGAUAUUGGGAAGAACACCGGCGGCGAAGGCGGCCUUCUGGGCCACGACUGACGCUGAGGCGCGAAAGCUAGGGGAGCGAACAGGAUUAGAUACCCUGGUAGUC
rnacentral:rRNA from 1 species